AAAAACGUUACCACUCCUUGACAUGAAGAUUAGAUCCUCCUUAACAGGAGGGCGCAGUUUCGGCUGGGUCUUGCACAGGUGCUGCAUGGCUGUCGUCAGCUCGUGUCGUGAGAUGUUGGGUUAAGUCCCGCAACGAGCGUAACCCUCACCCUUAGUUGCCAGCGGGUAAUGCCGGGGACUUUAAGGGAACUGCCAGUGGUAAGCUGGAGGAAGGUGGGGAUGAUGUCAAGUCAGCAUGGCCCUUAUGGGGUGGGCUACACACGUGCUACAAUGGUGACUACAAUAGGUUGCAAUGCCGCAAGGCUGAGCUAAUCCGUCAAAAGUCAUCUUAGUUCGGAUUGUCCUCUGCAACUCGAGGGCAUGAAGCAGGAAUCGCUAGUAAUCGUGGAUCAGCAUGCCACGGUGAAUACGUUCUCGGGUCUUGUACACACUGCCCGUCACGCCAUGGGAAUUGGCUUAACUCGAAGCUGGUGCGCCAACCGUAAGGAGGC
rnacentral:rRNA from 1 species